GGGACUAUAGUUAAUAAUAACAUUUGAGUUGCAUUCAAAAAGUACUGUCAAUACAACAGUUAGCCUCA
rnacentral:tRNA from 1 species